rnacentral:misc_RNA from 1 species
CGUAUCGGCCCAAAAGAAGCGCGGGCAUGUCCUUCCUGGUGGUUUCGGUCUUCUUGUCAGGGUCCGGCCGGUCGGCCAUUGAUGAACAGAAAAUUGGGGGAAAGGGGGAAAAUGCAGAGGCGGCGGCGGAGGAAGGAUUGUGGGGUUGUUUGGGAAAUUAAUUUGGAGGGUAAUGCUCUACCAUUAAAAUAGAUGGCAGCUUUUUUCGGGAUGAAUUUUGCAGGAUUUGGG